rnacentral:rRNA from 1 species
UACAGAGGGUGCAAGCGUUGCUCGGAAUUAUUGGGCGUAAAGGGUAGGUAGGUGGUCUCAUUUGUCUAGGGUGAAAUCCUUGGGCUUAACUCAAGAAGUGCCCUAGAAACGGUGAGACUGGAGUCCUGGAGAGGGUCGUGGAAUUCCCGGUGUAGCGGUGAAAUGCGUAGAGAUCGGGAGGAACACCAGAGGCGAAGGCGGCGACCUGGACAGGUACUGACACUCAACUACGAAAGCGUGGGGAGCAAACAGG